rnacentral:rRNA from 1 species
CAAUAGCGUAUAUUAAAGUUGUUGCAGUUAAAAAGCUCGUAGUUGGAUUUGUGGCGUACGGUGUGUUCCGGGCACUUGUUGUCUGAGUAACCUACUGUUGCCAUCCUUGGGUGGAACCUGUGUGGCAUUAGGUUGUCGUGCAGGGGAUGCCCAUCAUUUACUGUGAAAAAAUUAGAGUGUUCAAAGCAGGCUUAUGCCGUUGAAUAUAUUAGCAUGGAAUAAUGAGAUAGGACUUUCUUGCUAUUUUGUUGGUUUGCGCAAAGAGGUAAUGAUUAAUAGGGACAGUUGGGGGUAUUCGUAUUCCAUUGUCAGAGGUGAAAUUCUUGGAUUUUUGGAAGACGAACUACUGCGAAAGCAUUUACCAAGGAUGUUUUCAUUAA